CUGAGUGAAGGGGCUCAGGACGUGGGGCAGGUGGGCCAGCCCUGCCAAGCCCUGGGGGGUCCGGGGCUUUGUAGGGUAAGAGCUCUGUGGAGCAGGGCCUCAGUGUGGAUUUUACCCUGUGACCUCCCUCUCCUAGAGGAUCUCCCUUGUCUUCCCCAGCCAAUGUCUGUGGGCAGGUUGGAUGCCACCCAGCCUGCAGUGAGCUCUGACGCUGGCCCUGGUGCUGGCCAGGUAGCCAUGGUUAGAACGCCCACAGCGAAGGUCCAAGGGUUCCAGGGGUCGUGCGUCUCAAGGCAGGGGCCAGAGCCUGUCUCCCUCCCUCUCAAAACGUACGCAUCUUUGUGUUGUUUGAAAUAAGUUGGAAACAUCUGAUUCUGUGUCCCAAAUGAUAUUCCUCCCAAGGUGACUGUUUCCACCCUGGCAUGAGUGCACCCCACCCCUGCUCAGCCCCCUUCCUGCUGAGGUGUUCGAGGUGUUCGCUUUGGCGUUGUUUGCCCCCCUGACUAGGGAUCCUGAAAAGAUAAGCCUCUCCUCUGGGGCCCUGUGUUCAGCAGAAGGUGGUGGCCACACUUGGGAAAUGGAGAUGUUCUUCUGUCCUUCCUGUCUAUUGAGAAACUUAGUGUUGUGUUUUUCUAGCAAUGUCAAAGAUAGGUAAGAUGUUUUUCUUCUAAAUUUGGUGUGUCAUGCAGGCUGAAUAUCAAUCAUCUGAAAUGCUUGGGGCCUGAGAUGUGUUACAGAUGUUAGGCUUUUUUUUUGGGGGGGGGGAUAUUUGUAAAAGUUGAAUACCCCUAAUCUGAAAAUCCAAAAUCCUAAAAUCUAAAGUCCAAAACUUUUUGAGGGUCACAUAGGUACUUAAAGUUUAAAGUUUUGGAUUUCAGAUUUUUUGGAUUAGGGAUGCUCAACUGCAAAGCAGUGCCAUUGUUACUGGAUCAUUGCAUUUCUCUAUCCAUUCAUCCAUCUGUCCACCCACUUAUCUAUCCAUUAGUCUAUCCUUUCACCCUACUAUCCACCCAUCCAUCCAUUUCCCCAUCCAUCCAUCCACCUACUUAUACAUCCAUCCAUCCAUUUCCCCAUCCAUCUUUCUACCCAUUUCCCCAUCCAUCCAUCCAUUUCCCCGUCCAUCAAUCCACCCACCUAUCCAUCUAUCCAUCCAUACAUACAUACAUACGUCCCCCAGCCACCCACCUAUACAUCCAUCUAUCCGUUUCCCCAUACAUCCAUGCAUCUGUCCCCCCACCCAUCCACCCACCUAUAUAUCCACCUAUCCAUUGCCCCAUCCAUCCAUCCAUCCAACCCCCAUCCAUCCAACCACCUAUCCAUCCAUACAUACAUACAUACAUCCCCCAACCACCCACCUAUACAUCCAUCCAUCCAUUUCCCUGUCCAUCCCCACCCACCCGUCCAUCCACCCACUUCCCCGUCCAUCCACUCAGGACAAGUAUCCAUCAAGUGCCUCAUACAUGCCAGGUAAUGCCAAUGCUAAAAUCAAGGGUAUUGGCAUCAGCAUUAAAACUGUAUGUUCCAUGGAGGAAAAUCCAUUGUGAACAACUAACUGUCCAUGUAACUGUCCUACCAUAAACUAUCAGGGGGGACAAACCCUGCAAACUCUAAGUCUGUUAUGGUGGUGACAUGUAUGAGAAGAGGUCCCCAGAGUCUGGCCACAAAGAAGCCCCUGCUGAUGCUCACAGAAAACACACCUAGCCCACAGGGAAAGCUUUGAAGGAAAUGGAGUGUAGGCUGCCCAGAGUGGAGCAGAGGCCAGGCGUCCAGUCACUGCCUAUGGGACGGGGUGUGAAGACGGCAGGUGCAGACUGUCAAAGGGCCAUGCUCAGGCAGGAGUGGGGUGGCUGGAGUAGGGUGGGCAGCCAGCUUGGGACAGCUGAAAGCUGCCACCUCGGUCCACAGAGGCCACAGCAUGGAGUUUGGGCAGUAGCUGAGGACAGCCUCCCACAUUCUGCGGCUUCCCCCUGCGAGGUUCAGGCUGUAACCAACCCGAUGGCCUGACUUCUGGACUUUUGCUUAUCUCUGCACUGUCCACUUUUAGCAAGAGCUCUGCUUCAGCACCCUCGCUAUCUGAUGGGUUCCUCACCCCACCACCCCCAAAUGAUGUCUGGUCACUGGCCUGCCUGCAGCAAGAAUCCUGGGUCCAGCCAGAGCCCCUGUCUGCUCCUGGCCACGUCCCAGUCAUGGAUCCCGCUUUCCACUUGCUCAUGCUGUGUCUGGAGGGGAGCCCGGUUCUGUACCAAGACUUCUUUCUCCCCAUUGAAAUUGCCCUGAAUAAAAUCUGAUUUUGCUGC
rnacentral:lncRNA from 1 species